AGUCACACUAACACAGGUUGUGAACACUGAUUAUAACAGUCACACUAACACAGGUCGUGAACACUGAUUAUAACAGUCACACUAACGCAUGUGGUGAACACUGAUUAUAACAGUCACACUGAUUAUAACAGUCACACUAACACAGUUCGUGAACACUGAUUAUAACAGUCACACUAACACAGGUCGUGAACACUGAUUAUAACAGUCACACUAACGCAGGUUGUGAAUACUGAUUAUAACAGUCACACUAACGCAUGUGGUGAACACUGAUUAUAACAGUCACACUGAUUAUAACAGUCACACUAACGCAUGUCGUGAAUACUGAUUAUAACAGUCACACUAACACAGGUCGUGAAUACUGAUUAUAACAGUCACACUAACGCAGGUCGUGAAUACUAAUUAUAACAGUCACACUAACACAGGUCGUGAAUACUGAUUAUAACAGUCACUCUGACACAGGUCGUGAACACUGAUUAUAACAGUCACACUAACACAGGUCGUGAACACUGAUUAUAACAGUCACACUAACACAGGUCGUGAACACUGAUUAUAACAGUCACACUAACACAGGUCGUGAACACUGAUUAUAACAGUCACACUAACACAGGUCGUGAAUACUGAUUAUAACAGUCACACUAACACAGGUCGUGAACACUGAUUAUAACAGUCACACUAACACAGGUCGUGAAUACUGAUUAUAACAGUCACACUAACACAGGUCGUGAACACUGAUUAUAACAGUCACACUAACACAGGUCGUGAACACUGAUUAUAACAGUCACACUAACACAGGUCGUGAACACUGAUUAUAACAGUCACACUAACACAGGUCGUGAACACUGAUUAUAACAGUCACACUAACACAGGUCGUGAAUACUGAUUAUAACAGUCACACUAACACAGGUCGUGAACACUGAUUAUAACAGUCACACUAACACAGGUCGUGAAUACUGAUUAUAACAGUCACACUAACGCAGGUCGUGAACACUGAUUAUAACAGUCACACUAACACAGGUCGUGAACACUGAUUAUAACAGUCACACUAACACAGGUCGUGAACACUGAUUAUAACAGUCACACUAACACAGGUCGUGAACACUGAUUAUAACAGUCACACUAACACAGGUCGUGAACACUGAUUAUAACAGUCACACUAACACAGGUCGUGAACACUGAUUAUAACAGUCACACUAACGCAGGUCGUGAACACUGAUUAUAACAGUCACACUAACGCAUGUCGUGAACACUGAUUAUAACAGUCACACUAACGCAGGUCGUGAACACUGAUUAUAACAGUCACACUAACACAGGUCGUGAACACUGAUUAUAACAGUCACACUAACACAGGUCGUGAACACUGAUUAUAACAGUCACACUAACGCAGGUCGUGAACACUGAUUAUAACAGUCACACUAACACAGGUCGUGAACACUGAUUAUAACAGUCACACUAACACAGGUCGUGAACACUGAUUAUAACAGUCACACUAACACAGGUCGUGAACACUGAUUAUAACAGUCACACUAACACAGGUCGUGAACACUGAUUAUAACAGUCACACUAACACAGGUCGUGAACACUGAUUAUAACAGUCACACUAACGCAGGUCGUGAACACUGAUUAUAACAGUCACACUAACACAGGUCGUGAACACUGAUUAUAACAGUCACACUAACACAGGUCGUGAACACUGAUUAUAACAGUCACACUAACACAGGUCGUGAACACUGAUUAUAACAGUCACACUAACACAGGUCGUGAACACUGAUUAUAACAGUCACACUAACACAGGUCGUGAACACUGAUUAUAACAGUCACACUAACACAGGUCGUGAACACUGAUUAUAACAGUCACACUAACACAGGUCGUGAACACUGAUUAUAACAGUCACACUAACACAGGUCGUGAACACUGAUUAUAACAGUCACACUAACACAGGUCGUGAACACUGAUUAUAACAGUCACACUAACACAGGUCGUGAACACUGAUUAUAACAGUCACACUAACACAGGUCGUGAACACUGAUUAUAACAGUCACACUAACACAGGUCGUGAACACUGAUUAUAACAGUCACACUAACACAGGUCGUGAACACUGAUUAUAACAGUCAAGCUUAUUCUUGCUUUUUUCUCUUUUUUUCUUCAAAAAUAAAAAAAAACACACAAACAACAAUAGUGAAUAAAUACUUAAGUGGAUACAAAUUUUCUUUCCAUCUUUUUUUGUUUUUCUUUGUUUUGUGUUAGUAGAUAAUACUGUUUUAAAACACUGCUUCAAUAGCGGCGCCAGAACACUCUCCUCACGCACACCACGGAUUCGAGACAACAGGGCAGAUGAACGGCUCUC